rnacentral:rRNA from 3 species
UACGUAGGGAGCAAGCGUUGUCCGGAUUUACUGGGUGUAAAGGGUGCGUAGGCGGCUUUUUAAGUCGGGCGUGAAAGCUGUGGGCUUAACCCACAAAUUGCGUUCGAAACUGGAAGGCUUGAGUGAAGUAGAGGUAGGCGGAAUUCCCGGUGUAGCGGUGAAAUGCGUAGAGAUCGGGAGGAACACCAGUGGCGAAGGCGGCCUACUGGGCUUUAACUGACGCUGAGGCACGAAAGCAUGGGUAGCAAACAGG